GACACAAGUAUUUUCCCACUGAUGUACAAAUACCGUUCUGCUUUUAUGCAUGUUGUCAUAUAGGAAUAUAUUUUGUUUAUUAAUAAACAGCACACAGUGGUCCCGCUCAUCCGUCACUGCCUCACUUUUUCGCUGAUUUAUUUAUUUAUUUUUUUUGCACCGUACAGCAUUGCAUUCUGCAGCCUGAUUGACAAAUCUUCUCCGUGUCGUGUCUCCUGCGCUUGUCAAAUUUAUCAUGUUUUGUUUUGAUAACCAUCACGUCCAAUAGAUAAAACAGCACAAAAACACCCAUAACUAUGACCCUCAUUCGGAAAUAGACACCUGCACCGCGAGGGAAAAAGAUGCACAAAAGUGGCAGGCAGACGAAGACAAAACACGGCAUAAUAAUACUUUUACGUUUUGCAAUCUACAAAGGUUUGCACUUUGAGAAUCAACUUGUGAGAACUGUGACUAAUGUUCAUGUGUGUGGGGAAAAAAGUGUAUAAAGUGUGUGGUGAGGGGCUAGUUAUUCUGACAACCCCUGCUGCAAUAAAUGAGGGACCACUGUAUAUACUUUCUCUAUGACUAUUGUUUAAAACCUGUUAACAUUUAAUAUUGUCUUGAUAGAACCAGCUGAUUCUGCAGCAGAGCAUCCCCUGUUGCUUCUCCUGGCUCCCCAGUCCCUGAGCUCCUGCUGCUGCACCCACAGGCCCCAGAGGAGGACAGCUCCGAGGCAGAUGAGGGACUGGUCCCAGGACGGUCCAUCGGCGGUGGAGCUGGCCAUCCUGGAGUUCCUGAAGAGGCCACGCCAGUCUCCAAUGGAGCAUUUCCUCCUCAGCCUUGUUCCUGCUCUGGAGAGCAGCUGGGUCCUUUUUAUUCCUGUCUCUCUAUGGCCUGACUCGACAGGUAAACGCUGUUUCUGAGUUUGCCUUUCCCCAAGCAGUGCAGAAAUGUCUCCGCUAUGCUCCAGAUCGGAUAGGUGGUGCAGGAUGCCCGAUACCGGAGUAAACAUUUAAAAAACAAAAAAACAAAAACAAAACAAAAACAAAAAAACUGACUUGG